rnacentral:lncRNA from 1 species
UCUUCGAGAUUUACUUUCAUAAAAUAUAAUAAUUCCUCGUAUGAUAAUCGAAAAGAUUAUUGUGCAUCGAUGCAACGAUUUGUCUGGGCGCAGUUAGUUGUCGAUGUAACAGAACGCGUAGCAUCGGAACGAAAUCGAUGAACGAAACGACUCUGGGUUGGAUUAAACCACGCAUAUCUGGCAUCCAUUGCAGGUUGCUGCGCUGCCAAAUAUUUCUGUCGACAACGAGCAGUGGGAAGACACUGAAAUAUGACCUGUGCGGCCGCGCUACUGGAUUGCGAAAUCUGGAUAUAUCAUGCGCGAAUAAAUGACCCAGGUUGCAAGUAUUAUCAAAACCGAUGGAAUCAAAAAACGAGAACGUUGAUGAAAAUCGUGACAGAUACGAAAAUAAUUCGAAACGUGGUGGAAAACGUCAAUUAAUAUUAACGAGAACGAUCGACAAAGGUGAAUUUCAUAAAACUCACCCCUCGGGAAGAGAAUAAUAAUUCAUUUUUGCGCGUAUCAAUUUCUUGUUCCGAAGAUCUUUCUCAUUCCCCCCCGCGUUAUUCAUAUUUUUCUUUAAUGAAUUGACGAUCGACUGGCCACGUGAAAAUUCAUUCCGCAAACCCGCUCUAUUUAUAACGAUUAUGAUAUACGGUUUCCGCGAAUAUUUUUUAACGCAUUGAAAAAGAUCCGGAUUAUAGCCGUUUAAACGAUCAAUUAUCGAAUUCUAGGGUUUUUUACAUUCUUUGGCGCUAAUACAUCAUGAAUACAACAUGCCGAUAAUCGAAAUAGAGGCCUCGCUUUCGAGGCUCGCUGUUAAUUCACGGGCGACGAGGUAUCAACGAUACCACGUGGAUCGAUACGAUUCUCGUUUCGAUAAA